ACAGUUGUGCUUCUGAACAUGGCUCUGCAACUCCUCAAGAGAUACAGAGUUUCUUGGCUCAGUGUGACAUGAUAAGUUAGAAUUGGUUGGAAAGAGAGAUUUAUCAAUAAACAAAUGAUACUGUUUAGGCUAACAGUAAGUAAACUAAUGAAAUUUUACUUAUAAUAUCACAAAAAGCUGGACAUUUGAACAAACCAUCACAUGUACGGAAAUGAGCUUCCAAGAAUUAGCAGUCCCAUUGGAGAUAUUCUUGUGCUGAGAUUUCCAGUCAUGACAUCAAACAACAGUAAUAUAGAGGAGGCUUUCAUUACAUACAAAUCAAGGGCUCCAGAAACUCUUUCAAGAAAAGACUACGGCUUAUUUGCCUAUUUUCAGACAUAUUGAUAUCUAGAAGAAUUGUUAGUUUUAUAAGAUCCUUGAAAUUAAUAUGUAGAAGAGUAUGUUCCCGUACCCUGAAGUUAGAAUACUUAUGAACACAUCAACGCUACCGGUGGUUACACAGAAUUUAAAGAGAAGAAGAAGAAGAAGAAAGCAGAGAUUAAGGCUUAC
rnacentral:lncRNA from 1 species